GAACGCUGGCGGCGUGCUUAACACAUGCAAGUCGAGCGGAAAGGCCCUUCGGGGUACUCGAGCGGCGAACGGGUGAGUAACACGUGAGCAACCUGCCCUAGGCUUUGGGAUAACCCCGGGAAACCGGGGCUAAUACCGAAUAGGACCUCUGGCCGCAUGGCCGGGGGUGGAAAGUUUUUCGGCUUGGGAUGGGCUCGCGGCCUAUCAGCUUGUUGGUGGGGUGAUGGCCUACCAAGGCGACGACGGGUAGCCGGCCUGAGAGGGCGACCGGCCACACUGGGACUGAGACACGGCCCAGACUCCUACGGGAGGCAGCAGUGGGGAAUAUUGCACAAUGGGCGGAAGCCUGAUGCAGCGACGCCGCGUGAGGGAUGACGGCCUUCGGGUUGUAAACCUCUUUCAGCAGGGACGAAGCGUAAGUGACGGUACCUGCAGAAGAAGCGCCGGCCAACUACGUGCCAGCNGCCGCGGUAAGACGUAGGGCGCGAGCGUUGUCCGGAUUUAUUGGGCGUAAAGAGCUCGUAGGCGGC
rnacentral:rRNA from 1 species